rnacentral:lncRNA from 1 species
AGAUGCAUGGACAGAUAUGUCCCCCAUGGGUCCCGGACUGAGAGACAGCGGGUGUGUAUCGUUAGGGAAGACAUGCAUCACUAUAUUUGACAUUGCAUCUCAUGGCAUUACACAUUUUAUUAUUGAUGAACUUGAACAUGUGUUUUGUUGAUCCUGUGAGUGUUUCUCUGUGAAGCUUGUGACUGUUGAAUAUUGAGUUGUUAUUGAGAAUGUGUAAACUGAUAGAGUGUGGUUAUUGAGUUGUGUGUUUGGUAAACUGUAACCUAUUAGACUGUAUCGUAGAGGUUUAGAUAUGGUAUAAGGAGUGCCCGUAUUUUGUUCACUUAACUUGUGUUUAGAGGUUUGCUUGUUGGGUACCGCGUGGUUUGGUACUCACCCCUUGCUUCUACAAAUUUUUGUAGGAUACGAGCCUGGAUCAUCGUGAUACUUGUCAUUCUUUUCGUUUCCGAGGCAUCUUGUGGAGGAUUGUGAGGUAGCUGCUUGUCAUCUCAGCGAACUUUCCUACUCCAGUUUAUGACUUUGUUUUUACUUGAAAGACAACUUCAUUCAGACUUCUACUUUAUUUCAAUUCUAGUAUUUACAUUAGAGGCUUGUGCACGUGACAACCUGAUUUUGGGGAUUGGAUUAAUAUAACUUGGUUUCAUAAUAGGAAUUGUUGUUGGAUUGUCAUUUACUUCCGCACUUUGUUAGAUAUUUGGUUUUAGGCUGACUUGUCUUGGUGGGAUAAGACGAGUGCCAUCACACCCAUUUUUGGGUCGUGACAAAAUGGUAUCAGAGCCCCAGGUUCAUAGGUCUCACGUGUCUACAAGCCGAGUCUACGUAGAGUCUCAAGGGUCAGUACGGAGACGUCGGUACUCAUCUUUGAGAGGCUACAAAGAUUACUAGGAAACUUCCUUUUGUUCAUUGUUUCUCAUCGUGCGUAGUUACCUUCGUUAGUACUGAGUUGUUGUAUACUCUAUUGACAGAUGACGAGGACUAGAACUAAUGUUACUGGUGGUAGAGGGGAGGCACUUCCCGAGGCAGUUGUUGAGGCCCCAGCUAGGGGUAGGGGUAUAUCUCGAGCUAGAGGUCGUGCUAGUAGUACGACAGUAGCCAGAGGUCGUGGACGUGGAGCAGCACCACUGAGAGGUAGUGCUAGAGAGGUCUCUACCGAACCUCAGAUUGAUGACAUAGAGGACCAGGUUCCUUCAGAUCCCAUAGUCACACCUUUGCUUCAGGAUACGCUAUUGAGGGUGUUAAGUGUGUUAGAGGGAUUUUCUCAGGGUGGUGGUGCAACUACCACACCACAUGACUCUCGUACUAGAGAGGGGGCUCAGACCCAAGAGCAGCAACAAGCUCCGGUUGUUCAGGAUGCGGUGGGGCAACUACCAGUAGAUCCCGCGGUUCAGAAUGAUAUUGCACCAGCAGUUGGGGGUCAAGUUGCAUCGAUGGUUGUUCUGACAGAGGAUGAGCAGCGUAGGUAUGAGAGAUUUCGAAAGAUGGACCCACCUCAGUUUCAGGGUGGGAAGAGCGAGGACGCUCAUGAGUUUCUAACUACCUGCCGAGAGUUACUAGAGGUGGUUGGAUUAGCUGAGUCACAUGGGGUUAGAUAUGCUACACUCCAGCUUCGUGGACUAGCGAGAGACUGGUGGAGGACUUAUUCGGGGGUUUUGCCAGUUGGAUCUCCUCCAGUGACUUGGGAGCAGUUUGCUAGUGCAUUCCAAGAUCGUUUUAUCCCAUGGAGCGUGAGAGAGGAGAGUCGCUUGAGGUUUGAGAGUUUGAGACAGGAUGGUUUAUCGGUCACAGAGUAUGAGGCGCAUUUUUGCCAGUUGUCUAGGCAUGCGUUGGCCAUUAUUCCAAAUGAGACAGAGAGGAUCCGCAGAUUUGUGAGGGGAUUGACUUUCUCUAUCAGGUCAGCUGUGUUUCGGGCAUCUAGGGAGGGGGCUUCUUUUCAGUCCAUUGUGAGCGCCGCCAAAGAGGCAGAAUUGAUGGAGAGAGAGGAGUUUGGGGACCCUAAAAGAGCCCGUAUAUCAGGACAGUUUCAUGGUGCCUCAUCUGGAGGUAGGGGAUCACAGAGAGUGAGUGGUUCUUUUCAACAGCGGGGACCUAUUCAUGCAUCUAUGCCGACAUUUGAGGGUGGCCAGACAUCUAGGGGUUCUUAUAGCCCGGGUCAGAGCUCGUACGGUUCACAGUAGCGACCUACAAAGUGAGGAAAUUAUAGUGGGUUUUCAAGGUCCACACAACAGUUCCCAGGUCAGAGAUUUUGUUUUACUUGUGGAGAUCCCGAUCAUCUAAUGCGGCAGUGUACUUCACAAAGGGGUCGUGGUGGUCCUCGACCUAAUUCUUCAUUCCAGACUAGACCACCAGCACCACAGGGUAGAGGUCGUGGCAGAGUUCAGUCAGGUAGAGGUGAUAGAGUUUUUAGUAGUGGUGUUGCAGCUCAGCAGAGUGGGGGUAGAGGUACCACCCAGGAUGGAGGUGGACGAGGAGGCCACUGCUAUGCUUUCCCCGGGAGACCUGAGGUGGAGACCUCUGAUGCUGUUAUUACAUGUAUCAUCCCAGUAUGCCAUCGACCUGCGUCUGUGUUGUUUGAUCCAGGUUCUACAUUCUCUUAUGUGUCUACGUAUCUUGCUGCUAAAUUUGAUAUGAUAUGUGAUAGUAUGACUGUACCUAUUCGUGUUUCUACACCCGUGGGUAAACCCUUAGUGGUGGAUCGAGUGUAUCGAUCCUGUCUUGUUUCUUUGGCUGGGUAUGACACUUGGGUAGACUUAAUCAUUCUGGGGAUGGUGGACUUUGAUGUUAUCUUGGGUAUGGAUUGGCUUUCUCCUUAUCAUGUUGUCCUUGAUUGUAAUGCUAAGACUGUGACUUUAGCUAUGCCUGGUGUUCCGAAGGUUGAGUGGAAGAGUGUUAGUGGUUCUUACCCUAGCAAGGUCAUCUCUUUUAUCCGUGCUCAGAGAUUGGUGGAGAGGGGGUGUUUGUCUUACUUAGCUUUUAUUCGGGAUACUAGCGUUGAACCACCUCCCAUGGAUUCUGUUCCCGUGGUUCAGGAGUUUCCCGAUGUAUUUCCUUCUAAUCUUCCAGGUGUUCCUCCCGAUAGGGACAUCAAUUUCGCUAUUGAUUUGGAGCCGGGCACUAAGCCUAUUUCUAUCCCUCCAUACCGUAUGGCUCCAGCAGAGUUGAAAGAAUUGAAGGAUCAGUUGCAGGAUUUAUUGAGUAAGGGUUUUAUUCGCCCUAGUGUGUCACCUUGGGGUGCCCCUGUAUUGUUUGUGAAGAAGAAGGAUGGGACUAUGAGAAUGUGUAUUGAUUACAGACAGUUGAACAAAGUAACAGUUAAGAAUAAGUAUCCUCUUCCGCGUAUUGAUGACUUAUUUGAUCAGUUACAGGGAGCAUCAUUGUUCUCUAAGAUUGAUCUGAGGUCUGGGUAUCAUCAGUUGAAGAUUAGGGCAUCAGAUAUCCCUAAGACAGCUUUUCGGACUCGGUAUGGGCAUUAUGAGUUUCUAGUGAUGUCCUUCGGAUUGACUAAUGCCCCUGCAGCAUUCAUGGAGUUGAUGAAUGGGGUGUUUCGACCAUACCUUGAUUCUUUUGUGAUUGUUUUCAUCGAUGACAUCUUGGUUUACUCUAAGACUGAGGAGGACCAUGUCCGACACCUAAGGAUUGUACUUCAGAGGUUGAGAGAAGAGAAGUUGUAUGUCAAGUUCUCAAAGUGUGAGUUCUGGCUUACUUCUGUAGCAUUCUUGGGACACGUGGUGUCCAAGGAGGGUAUUAGAGUAGAUCCGACCAAGAUAGAGGCAGUUAGAGGAUGGACGCGACCUACUUCACCUACUGAGAUUAGGAGUUUUGUGGGAUUGGCAAGUCAUUAUCGACGAUUUGUUCAGAGUUUCUCUACUAUUGCAACUCCAUUGACUAGAUUGACUCGACAGGAUGUGAGUUUUCAGUGGUCUGAUGAGUGUGAGGAGAGCUUUCGAAAGCUCAAGACUUUGUUGACUUCUGCUCCUGUGUUGACUCUACCUGAGGAAGGUGUAGACUUUACUGUGUAUUGUGAUGCCUCAGGAGUUGGUUUGGGUGGUGUGUUGAUGCAGAAGGGGAAAGUGAUUGCUUAUGCUUCUAGGCAGUUGAAAUCCCAUGAGAAGAACUACCCUACUCAUGAUUUGGAGUUGGCGGCUGUGGUAUUUGUACUUAAGUUAUGGCGUCAUUAUUUGUAUGGAGUGCAUUGUGAGAUCUUCACUGAUCAUCGGAGUCUUCAGUAUAUCUUUAGCCAGAGGGAUUUGAACUUGAGGCAACGAAGAUGGCUUGAGUUGCUGAAGGACUAUGAUGUGACCAUUCUGUAUCAUCCGGGGAAGGCCAAUGUUGUGGCCGAUGCUUUGAGUAGGAAGACUCAUAGCAUGGGGAGUCUUGCAUCUCUUAGUGUUGAGGAGAGACCAUUGGCUAGAGAUGUUCAAUUGUUAGCUAACAGUCUUGUCCGAUUACAGAUCUCAGAGGAGAGUGAUGGGAUGAUUGCUUUUAUUGAGGCUCGAUCUUCUUUAGUCGAGCAGAUUCGUGCACACCAGUUUGAUGACGAAAAAUUAUGUCUCGUUCGAGACAAAGUAUUGAGAGGGGAAGCUAAGGAGGCUGUCCUUGAUUCUGAUGGUGUCUUGAGGAUCGGAGGCAGGAUUUGUGUGCCCAAGACAGGCGAUUUGAUUAGAUUGAUCCUUGAGGAGGCCCAUUGUUCUCGAUAUUCUAUCCAUCCGGGAGCGGCGAAAAUGUAUCAUGAUCUGAGUCAGCAUUACUGGUGGUGUGGGAUGAAGAGAGAUAUUACAGACUUUGUUUUGAGGUGUUUGACUUGCCAACAGGUCAAGUGUGAGCACCAGCGGCCUGGUGGUGUAUCUCAAAGGAUGCCUAUUCCUACUUGGAAGUGGGAGCGGAUUACUAUGGACUUUGUUGUGGGUUUGCCUACCACAGUGGGUGGUUAUGACUCUAUUUGGGUUGUUGUUGAUAGGCUGACCAAGUCUGCCCACUUCAUCCCGGUUCGGGUAAAGUAUACAGCAGAAAAGUUAGCCGAACUAUAUAUCAGUCAGAUUGUGCGACUACAUGGAGUUCCUGUUUCUAUCAUAUCAGAUCGAGGUUCACUAUUUACUUCUCACUUCUGGAAGGCAUUACAACAUGGUCUGGGUACUCAGUUAGAUAUGAGUACGGCAUUUCACCCUCAGACAGAUGGUCAAUCUGAGCGGACCAUUCAGGUAUUGGAAGAUAUGCUUCGAGCGUGUGUAAUCGAUUUUGGUGCAAGAUGGGAUCGACAUUUACCCUUAGCGGAGUUCGCCUAUAAUAACAGUUAUCACUCUAGUAUCCAAAUGGCCCCAUUUGAGGCAUUGUAUGGUAGACGGUGUAGAUCUCCUAUUGGUUGGUUUGAUUCGGCAGAGAUGGACUCUUUGGAUACAGACUUGCUUAGAGAUGCUAUGGAGCAAGUCCGUAUGAUUCAGUAUAGAUUAUUGACAGCUCAGAGUCGACAGAAGAGUUAUGCAGAUCGGAGAGUUAGAGCCUUGGUGUUUAUGGAGGGUGAUCAUGUUUGGCUCCGAGUAUCACCCAUGAAGGGUGUAAUGAGGCUUGGAAAGAAGGGCAAGCUUAGCCCUAGGUUCAUUGGACCUUUUGAGAUUUUGAGCCGAGUGGGAGAGGUGGCCUAUAAUUUGGCCUUGCCACCUAGUUUGUCGGCAGUUCAUCCUGUUUUCCAUGUCUCUAUGCUUCGGAAGUAUAUUCCGGAUGAAUCUCAUGUGAUUUCACUUGAUUCUGUGGAGUUGGGUCCAGACUUGACAUUUGAAGAGGAGCCUAUAGCUAUUUUGGAUAGGCAGGUUCGAAAGCUUAGAACCAAGGAGAUUGCUUCAGUGAAGGUGCAGUGGAAGCACCGAUCAGUGAGAGAGGCAACUUGGGAGACUGAGUCUGACAUGCGUGCCAGAUAUCCUCAACUUUUUUAGGCUUCAGGUACUUUCUUUCACCUUAUGUUCGAGGACGAACAUGGUUUUUAGUGGUGGAUAAUGUAAUGACCCGAAAGGUCAUUUUUGAAAAUUUUAAAUAUUAAUUUAAUUAAGAAUAAAUUAAUUUAUGACUAAUUAUUAAAUAACUAAUUGUAAUUAAUAAUUAUGGUUAAGUUUAUAAAAAAAAAUUUUACCAUAUACCAAUUACCCUUAUAGGAAAUAAAUUAUUAGGGUUAGAGAGUUUUUAGUUUAUAACUUUAAGAAAAGAAAAGGAGACACCUGCGUAUAGCGACGAUUGGCGUAGAACUGCAAUUCACGAUCAGGUAAUGUUCAUGAAUUUUUCAUUCAUUAUGCAAUUGAAAAUAUUGAGGUCAAAUGUAGUACAAGCAUAAUUAUCAUUAUAAUAAUGUGUGAAAAUGAGUAAGGAAUCAAAUUGUUAACUUUAUUAACUAUAUUAUUAUUUGCAAGUUACAGUGGAUCAGAAUUGAAAUUGUACUAACUUGAACGUGAUUUCUAUAUAUAUAUAUUUAUCAUAGUGGUAAUGUUAAUGACGAUUAAAAAAAAAUUGAGGGUAAUUAUCGAUCAGUAAAGAUAAUUAAUUGUUGAGGGAUAGUUUCUAAGAAUAUAACCUGUGUCAAUUUGAGUUCUGAAAAAUUUUGGGUUUUCUUGUAACUAAAAUAUUAUGUCCAUGAUUUUGAUUUUUAGUGUUUCUCUAAUUCCUUGUUAUAAUUGUCACAUAUAAUUUAAGUUUGGAUAUAUUGAGAUAGGUAAAUAAAUAUAAAGUGUAAUGUAUUUUGUGAAUAGCAUUAGACUUGUGAUAUUUGAGGAAUUAAGACUUAAUCGUAAACUUGAAAAUUGGAGAAAAGUUAAAAGAGUUGACAUGUCAAAUGACAUCAAAAGUUAAGAACUUGAUUAUAAAUUUGUGCUCUAUGAUUUUUGGUCUAUGUUAGACACGUAGUGAUAUGGAUGUUGUUAGGUUUAAAAUCUUAUUGUGAUCGUUAAUAGGAAUAGAUUGUAUUGGUUUGGAAGUACAACGAAAGGAAAAGGCUCAAGUUCAGAGUGAUUGUUCGACUAUUUGAGGCAAGUGGAUUUCUAAGCUCUUGUUAAGCGUACGAAAUUCGUGUAUAUCCUUGUGUGAUGUUGAGAAUGAUUUAGAGACUUGUUGUUUAUUUGUUGGUGUUGUAUUUCUUGUUGUAAAUUGUGUUUGGUUAUCAAAUGGUUAUCUCCUCCCUUUUCAUUUGAGCAUGUCAUUUGCAUUGUAUCUGAGAAAUUGUUGUGGUAAGAGGAUGGUGUACUAUUUUCGAGGGUCGUAUCGCGCGCCGCGAUGGAUAUUAUAUUUCGAGGGACGUAUCGCGCGCCGCGAAGGUUACUACUUAUCGAGGGUCGUGUCGUGCGCCGCGACAGAUGCAUGGACAGAUAUGUCCCCCAUGGGUCCCGGACUGAGAGACAGCGGGUGUGUAUCGUUAGGGAAGACAUGCAUCACUAUAUUUGACAUUGCAUCUCAUGGCAUUACACAUUUUAUUAUUGAUGAACUUGAACAUGUGUUUUGUUGAUCCUGUGAGUGUUUCUCUGUGAAGCUUGUGACUGUUGAAUAUUGAGUUGUUAUUGAGAAUGUGUAAACUGAUAGAGUGUGGUUAUUGAGUUGUGUGUUUGGUAAACUGUAACCUAUUAGACUGUAUCGUGGAGGUUUAGAUAUGGUGUAAGGAGUGCCCGUAUUUUGUUCACUUAACUUGUGUUUAGAGGUUUGCUUGUUGGGUACCGCGUGGUUUGGUACUCACCCCUUGCUUCUACAAAUUUUUGUAGGAUACGAGCCUGGAUCAUCGUGAUACUUGUCAUUCUUUUCGUUUCCGAGGC